CUGGCGGCAUGCCUUACACAUGCAAGUCGAACGGCAGCAUGAUCUAGCUUGCUAGAUUGAUGGCGAGUGGCGAACGGGUGAGUAAUACAUCGGAACGUGCCCUGUAGUGGGGGAUAACUAGUCGAAAGAUUAGCUAAUACCGCAUACGACCUGAGGGUGAAAGUGGGGGACCGCAAGGCCUCAUGCUAUAGGAGCGGCCGAUGUCUGAUUAGCUAGUUGGUGAGGUAAAGGCUCACCAAGGCGACGAUCAGUAGCUGGUCUGAGAGGACGAUCAGCCACACUGGGACUGAGACACGGCCCAGACUCCUACGGGAGGCAGCAGUGGGGAAUUUUGGACAAUGGGGGCAACCCUGAUCCAGCAAUGCCGCGUGUGUGAAGAAGGCCUUCGGGUUGUAAAGCACUUUUGUCCGGAAAGAAAUCAUGCCGUAUGACGAUCAGUCAUGGCACUUACUAAUAUUAGGUGUGGAUGACGGUACCGGAAGAAUAAGGACCGGCUAACUACGUGCCAGCAGC
rnacentral:rRNA from 1 species